rnacentral:rRNA from 1 species
CCAAUGAUUAGAGGCAUCGGGGGCGCAACGCCCUCGACCUAUUCUCAAA